AUGCAGAGCGCGGCGGCCAUCGGGCUCCUCCGGCCAUGCGCCGCGCGGCCCAUCCUCAAGAGCCCUAGCCCCGGGGCCGCCCGCCUCCCGGCCUCCCGCGCGGCCCUCCGCCUCUCCGCCGCGGCGCCCCGCGCGGGCCUCGUGGCUGCGGCCGGGCUCGGCCGCAUCGGGCUCGUCCCGGCGUUGCCUGAGCAGGAGAAGAGGAGCGACUGCCUCGUGGCCGCCGCGGCCUCCGGGAAGGCGGCGGCGGGCGAGGAGGCCGGGGAGGAAAGCGGAGCGGCGCUCGCCAAGACGCUGCAGCUCGGCGUCUUCUUCGGGCUCUGGUACCUCUUCAACAUCUACUUCAACAUCUACAACAAGCAGGUCCUGAAGGUUUUUCCUUUUCCCAUAAACAUCACAACAGUUCAGUUUGCUGUUGGAACUACGAUUUCCUUGUUUAUGUGGGCCACAGGUAUCCUUAAAAGACCAAAGAUUUCCGGUGCACAGCUUCUUGCUAUCCUCCCUCUGGCUAUUGUCCAUACCAUGGGCAAUCUUUUCACUAACAUGAGCCUUGGGAAGGUUGCAGUGUCAUUUACACAUACAAUCAAGGCCAUGGAGCCUUUCUUCUCAGUUCUACUUUCUGCAAUGUUCCUUGGCGAGCUGCCUACUCCCUGGGUUGUUUUGUCUCUUCUUCCUAUUGUUGGUGGUGUGGCAUUGGCAUCUAUUUCUGAAGCUUCUUUUAACUGGGCUGGAUUUUUGAGUGCAAUGGCUUCAAAUGUGACCUUCCAGUCAAGGAAUGUCCUCAGCAAGAAGCUUAUGCUGAAGAAAGAGGCAUCUCUGGACAACAUCAAUCUCUUCUCGAUUAUUACAGUCAUGUCAUUCUUCCUCUUAGCCCCUGUAACCUUGUUGACAGAAGGUGUCAAGGUCACUCCUACUUUUCUGCAGUCUUCUGGUCUGAACUUGCAACAAGUGUACACAAGGUCUUUGAUUGCCGCAUUCUGUUUCCAUGCAUACCAACAGGUGUCAUACAUGAUCCUCGCAAGGGUGUCACCAGUUACCCAUUCGGUAGGUAACUGUGUCAAGCGUGUGGUGGUCAUUGUUACAUCCGUUCUGUUCUUCAAGACCCCUGUGUCUCCAAUCAACUCUAUCGGAACCGCGAUCGCUCUUGCGGGAGUUUUCCUGUACUCACAACUGAAAAGACUUCAGCCCAAGCCCAAGGCUGCCUGA
rnacentral:rRNA from 1 species